rnacentral:rRNA from 1 species
GAGACUGCCGGUGUUAAGCCGGAGGAAGUGGGGAUGACGUCAAGUCCUCAUGGCCUUUAUGCCCAGGGCUACACACGUGCUACAAUGGGCGGUACAAAGAGAAGCAACCUCGCGAGGGUGAGCAAAUCUCAAAAGACCGUUCUCAGUUCGGAUUGAAGUCUGCAACUCGACUUCAUGAAGUCGGAAUCGCUAGUAAUCGCGGAUCAGCAUGCCGCGGUGAAUACGUUCCCGGGCCUU